rnacentral:rRNA from 1 species
AUUGAACGCUGGCGGCAGGCCUAACACAUGCAAGUCGAACGGUAACAGGAAGAAGCUUGCUUCUUUGCUGACGAGUGGCGGACGGGUGAGUAAUGUCUGGGAAACUGCCUGAUGGAGGGGGAUAACUACUGGAAACGGUAGCUAAUACCGCAUAACGUCGCAAGACCAAAGAGGGGGACCUUCGGGCCUCUUGCCAUCGGAUGUGCCCAGAUGGGAUUAGCUUGUUGGUGGGGUAACGGCUCACCAAGGCGACGAUCCCUAGCUGGUCUGAGAGGAUGACCAGCCACACUGGAACUGAGACACGGUCCAGACUCCUACGGGAGGCAGCAGAGGGGAAUAUUGCACAAUGGGCGCAAGCCUGAUGCAGCCAUGCCGCGUGUAAGAAGAAGGCCUUCGGGUUGUAAAGUACUUUCAGCGGGGAGGAAGGGAGUAAAGUUAAUACCUUUGCUCAUUGACGUUACCCGCAGAAGAAGCACCGGCUAACUCCGUG